AUCAUACUUUUCUCCGUCCCAAAAUUGUUGUCUUACAUUUGUCUAUAUAUGAAUGUAUCUAGUCAUGUUUUAGUAUUUGGAUACAUUUAUUUUUAGACAAACCUAAGACAAGAAUUUUGGAACAGAGGGAGUAUAUG
rnacentral:pre_miRNA from 1 species